AUUGAACGCUGGCGGCAGGCCUAACACAUGCAAGUCGAGCGAGUGGCGGACGGGUGAGUAAUCUGUGGGAAUCUGCCUUGUGGAGGGGGAUAACCUCGGGAAACGGUAGCUAAUACCGCAUACCAUCAGUUGUGCCCAUAUGGGAUUAGCUAGUAGGUGGGGUAAUGGCACACCGAGGAGACGAACCCUAGCUGGUCUGAGAGGAUGACCAGCCACACUGGAACUGAGACACGGUCCAGACUGCGACGGGAGGCAGCAGUGGGGAAUAUUGGACAAUGGGCGCAAGCCUGAUACAGCCAUACCGCGUGUGUGAAGAAGGCCUUCGGGUUGUAAAGCACUUUCGGCGAGGAGGCGUUACUCGCAGAAGAAGCACCGGCUAACUCCGUGCCAGCAGCCGCGGUAAUAC
rnacentral:rRNA from 1 species